GUUAAGCGACUAAGCGUACACGGUGGAUGCCCUGGCAGUCAGAGGCGAUGAAGGACGUGCUAAUCUGCGAAAAGCGUCGGUAAGGUGAUAUGAACCGUUACAGCCGGCGAUGUCCGAAUGGGGAAACCCAGUGCAAUUCGUUGCACUAUCGUUAACUGAAUACAUAGGUUAACGAGGCGAACCGGGGGAACUGAAACAUCUAAGUACCCCGAGGAAAAGAAAUCAACCGAGAUUCCCCCAGUAGCGGCGAGCGAACGGGGAGCAGCCCAGAGUCUGAAUCAGCUUGUGUGUUAGUGGAACGGUCUGGAAAGUCCGACGGUACAGGGUGAUAGUCCCGUACACCAAAAUGCACAGGUUGUGAACUCGAAGAGUAGGGCGGGACACGUGGUAUCCUGUCUGAAUAUGGGGGGACCAUCCUCCAAGGCUAAAUACUCCUGACUGACCGAUAGUGAACCAGUACCGUGAGGGAAAGGCGAAAAGAACCCCGGCGAGGGGAGUGAAAAAGAACCUGAAACCGUGUACGUACAAGCAGUGGGAGCACCUUCGGGUGUGACUGCGUACCUUUUGUAUAAUGGGUCAGCGACUUAUAUUCUGUAGCAAGGUUAACCGUAUAGGGGAGCCGCAGGGAAACCGAGUCUUAACUGGGCGUUAAGUUGCAGGGUAUAGACCCGAAACCCGGUGAUCUAGCCAUGGGCAGGUUGAAGGUUGGGUAACACUAACUGGAGGACCGAACCGACUAAUGUUGAAAAAUUAGCGGAUGACUUGUGGCUGGGGGUGAAAGGCCAAUCAAACCGGGAGAUAGCUGGUUCUCCCCGAAAGCU
rnacentral:rRNA from 1 species